UACAAGGGCCCCUAAUGUUAUCCGGAUUUAUUGGGCGUAAAGAGUACGUAUGCGGUGAUGCAAAUCAGGAGUAAAAUCCCUAGGUUUAACCUUGGACCUGCUUCUGAAACUGCCUUACUAUAUGCUGGAAGAAGCAAGUGGAAUUGGCGGUGGAGGGUUAAAAGCGGUUAAUAUCAGUAGGAACACCAAGUGCUAAGGCGACUUGCUACCUUAGUCCUGAUUCUCAUGUACGAAAGCGUGGGUAGGGAAUGGUAUUAGAUACCCCAGAAGUCCACGGCGUAAACGAUGGAUACUAUGAAUUGGAAGUAUCGACCCUUUCAGUGCCGGUGAACCAAGCUAACGCAUUAUCUAUCCCGCCUGGGGAGAACGGCCGUCAGGCUAACACUCAGAGGAAUUGACGGGGACCCGUACGAGCGGUGGAACACGUGGUCUAACUCGAUAAUAAGCGAGGAUCCUUCCCAAGGCUUGACAUAUAUCUGCAAGCUCCUAGUAACAGGAAGCGCCCUGGAGGGUCCUAUUCAGGUGGUCCAUGGUUGUCGUCAUAUCGUGCCGUGAGGUGUACAGUUAUGUCUGGAAACGAGCGCAACCCGUGUCUUUAUUAGUCUUUAUAAGGGAACUUUCGUGUACAACACGGAGGAAGGUGGGGAUGACCUCAAUUCAGCAUGGCUGGUCCUCCCUGGGCGACACACAUUCUACAAUGGUAGUGCAAAGGGACGCCAUCUCGAAAGGUGGAGCAAAUCACAACAAAACUCGUCUCAGUUCGGAGUGAGGUGUGCAACUCGACCUCAUGAAACUGGAAUCGCUAGUACCCGUAAAUCAGUCAUGGUACGGAGAAUUCGUUGUCGGGUUU
rnacentral:rRNA from 1 species